CAGAUCUUUGUGCAGGCUUACACAACUGAGUUAGAACUUGAAGUAGCCCAUCUGUUGGAAGAGAAUACCAAGCUAAAAAAGCAGCAACAGAAGUUACUGGUGACUUCUGCUCAGCUUCCAAAAAAGAGCACACUCUACAGAACCUCAACUGCUCCAUUUUGAGUAGUGAGGAUGCAGCAUUUUUGUUCUCGUUUCUUUUUGCCUUUUUUGUCAAUUUGGCUUGCAUGAUAGCUUCUCAAUUAUGAUAAAGAGGAGACAUAUUUAUC